rnacentral:ncRNA from 1 species
GUAGAACAAAGGCAACUUUCGUCCGAAAGGCGGAAGACGCAAAGCUACCGGUCUAAACCGCUCUUCAAGCGGCAUGACAGCGGGGUUGCUUCG